GGAGCUUGCUUUAUAUACUUAGCAGCGAACGGGUGAGUAACACGUAGAUAAUCUAUCCUAUACUGGGGGAUAGCCCGAUGAAAGUUGGAUUAAUACCGCAUAUAGCUAUAUAGUUGCAUGAUUAUGUAGUGAAAGAUUUAUCGGUAUAGGAGGAGUCUGCGGCACAUUAGCUAGUAGGUGAGGUAAAGGCUUACCUAGGCGACGAUGUGUAGCCGGUCUGAGAGGAUGAACGGCCACAAUGGAACUGAGACACGGUCCAUACUCCUACGGGAGGCAGCAGUGGGGAAUAUUGCACAAUGGGGGAAACCCUGAUGCAGCAACGCCGCGUGAGUGAAGAAGGUUUUCGGAUUGUAAAGCUCUGUUAGCAGGGAAGAGGAAGGACGGUACCUGCAGAGGAAGCCACGGCUAACUACGUGCCAGCAGCCGCGGUAAUACGUAGGUGGCAAGCGUUGUUCGGAAUAACUGGGCGUAAAGGAUGCGUAGGCGGUUAAACAAGUUAUAUGUUAAAUAUAUAGGCUUAACCUGUAGAAAGCAUAUAAAACUGUUUAACUAGAGUGCAGGAGAGGUAAGUGGAAUUCCUAGUGUAGCGGUGAAAUGCGUAGAGAUUAGGAAGAACACCAGUGGCGAAGGCGACUUACUGGACUGUAACUGACGCUGAGGCAUGAGAGCAUGGGGAGCAAACAGGAUUAGAUACCCUGGUAGUCCAUGCUGUAAACGAUGGGUACUAGGU
rnacentral:rRNA from 1 species